CCGCCGGCCAGCAGCCCUCUCCACGCACAACCGCCGCGGCAAAGCUGGCCCUGGGCAGGCCCUCUGCCACCCCCAGGGCCCUGGGACCCUUGCGCGUAACCACACGCCUCUCCUGAUGGCAGGGCAGGGGUGGUAUGCCCUGGCACUGGGCACAGGAGGUGUAUUUUCGGGUGCUGAGGAAGCAGGGGGUGAGCGAGCACGUGGACAGGGCCGCAUUCCUGACUCCUGCCAGGCACAGCUCUGUCUUGAUGAGGCAGGGGCCGGCUUGGGGCAGCGCCGGGCACAGGCUUAAGGGGCUGGGCCGAGAGAAGCAGCAGACCAGGUCUGCAUCCCCUACCAGCGGUGUUGUUUGGGUUUUGAGUCAGUUCCAGAUAACUACUGUGUAACUUUCAACAACCUAUUUAGUAAACAGAUGAUUCAACAGAGAACAUCUGUUCUUCCAAGAAGUCCAUUCAGAAGGGGCUGCUCUGGAAGCCUCGCAGUGGAGUCCGGAGGCGUCAGUACCAGCAAACACUUCUGCAGGAGGCUGUGGACGAUCUUAGAGAAAUCCCCUCAAGUCAGGACGCCGCCUGCCUUCCAGCAUGGAGGAUGCAUUCCCCCAGUCCCAAAGUAAAGAGGCAUUAUUUUUCCAUACUCUUAUCUUUUCUGUUAAGCCAAAUGACCCAGUCUCUGGCUGAUUAGUAUUUCCAGGGGCAGCCUGGCAGAGCCCACAGCCCACAGCAGAAGCAUCCAGUCCCGGCUCCUGGGGCUUGUGUUGGAGCAGGACGGGUGCUGGAGGGGAGUCUGAGCUCCUGGUACAAUCCUGCUCUGACCCGGAGCUCAUCCAGAGGAAAUUCCACAUCGUUUAUUUAAAGUAUUCACAGAAAUCUCAGCAAGUACACUGCAGUUAAAGUCAAAUCUAGCAGGAAGCCUGUGUUCAAAAAUAGGAUCCUGUGGAGGCUGAGAUGACCAAGAGGAGAACAGGUCUCUGAAAAUGAGACAGAAGAAAUUUAAAUAAUUAUAUUUUCCUUUAAAAAAUGAAAGAAAGAAAGAAAGAAAGCUGUCAUCGUAUCCAUUCCUUGCGGUUCUCUUUCUAGAUCCCAGAUAUCCUGCCAUCUUGGCUACUCUUCUUGGGAAACUCAACUACUCACUGACCUUCUUGGGGAGGCAGAUUAUUUUCAUUUCCCCAGCAGGUGGCACAGAGUUCCUGAAAUUUUCCCAGCAGCCCUGACUUCUGGUUAUCACGCAAGGCCGCGGUGUGAGUGCCAGCUAGCAGCCACCCGUGGGAAUGCCACACCUCCUGAAAUAAGUGUGUCUUAGUGGGACGUUUCCAUCCUGGAGGAAAUGGGAAUCCUCACAUGGACUUACUUUUUAUUGUCACCCUAUUGCUGUUUCUGUCCCCUUCUGCCAACACAAUUUCCGUCAUGGCUUAAAAAUUUAAUACAUGCUUAAGACUUAACUCAUGAUGACAGAAAGAAAAGUCAAGCUUUACAUUC